ensembl:lncRNA
CACACACACACACACACACACACACACACACACACACACUCACACACCCAGACACAGACACACAAACCCACCCCCACUCACGGUGGCGCGGGGGGCUGACUCUCUCUUCAUAAGGUGGUGGUCACUUUUAUCAACAGUGGCGCCAUCUCCAUCCUCGGCUCACCUCUACUCUGAGACCACUCAACGCCCUGCGACUGGAGGGGCGCCACAUUCAGGCUAACCUUUAUGUUCUAGAGCUUUAACAAGAGAUAAUCGUAUUUAUUACCUGAUCUAUUUAUUUUAUUGGUGCUCAUUCACUUGCUUCUUUUACGGUGUGUGUCAUUUAUUUGUUGUUUAAUUCUGAUUCUGCCCAUACGCAGAAUUUGUAUUAGUCUCUUUUUUAUUUUCUAUAUUUUCCUCCUUUUUCUAGUUUUGUGUGUGUCUGUGGCUGUGUAUUGUCAUGUCCCUUCUGAAAACAAAAACUGUCAAGUAUAUGAAAUGCCGAGAAAUAAUAUUCCUUUCAACCUCAUGGUAAACAAGUGAUAAAUAGAUAUAUAAAAUUAAAAACGUCAACAAAAUAGGGAGGAAAAAAUAAUGACCCUGUGGGUAACAGAAGCUGACUCCAGCUUCUGCAGUCAGCUUCUCUCCCCCAUCGGCCCCUCAACACCUGCGCUGGGGGCCUUUGAACCUGCCAUUAGAUGUUCUUCCCUGCCUCCCUGUGUCUCUCUGGCUGUCCACCGGGCCCGGGCCUUUUCUGUUUCUGUCCUCGGCUCUCAGUGUCUUUCAGUCCCCCUCAGUGGGUCUAUCUGUGUUGCUUUGGUUUGCUUUAGGCCUUUGGGUUUUAAAGAUGGCUGCUUGUGGAGCACUGACCCUUUAAGUAUCAUGAUCACACAACGCACAGGGCCCUUUAAGACAACACAGAUCACUUUAAUGUUUGCACCUUGCUCUCGCAUGCCUGCUCUGGGUUAGUGUCUAUGGUCUAACAUGGUGUCCUUUACCCAUGUGAAAAGUAUUGUGGAUGAAUGACAUCAUACGUCAUGUUUGAUAUGGGUGUCAUUCUGAUUCCCAAGUGGCCAGUGUAAAUGUUUGAAUGAUGACUGACUUAAAGCCUUGAAAAAGCAAGUCCCCAAGCAGGACCUCUGUCUGGUUCUGUAUGGUCACUGUCUGACUGUUUCAACCAUUUUCUAUGGCCAAUUGGCUCCAUUCUUCACAUUCAAAGCCCCCUGAAGGUCCCAUGCCAUAGAACUGUCAGCCUUCUCCAGCUAAAUACUGUGCAUGCUGUGCUGUCACAAUGAUGUCAUAAUGCUUUAUCAAACGAACAGCAUAAAUAAAAUACCAUAUAAAUGUCCAUGACACGUGGGGAGCCAAGCACACGACCACACUUAACACAGAAGACCUCCAUCAGAGCAUACCAUCAACACCAGUGAUGAGAACAUUCAUUAAGCUUCACCUUCAGAGAGCUCCAUCCAACAGUCCAGACAACCUCAUCACACCCUAGUGUGAGGGUGUAUCCCUCCUCCAGUGUCCCAUGAUGCACUAGGUGUGGUUUAGGCUUCAUGUUGCCUCGAUGUGUGACUGCAAAGCAAUGCAACCCUCUUGAGCCUUGCAGCAUCUCCUCAGCCCCCCCACCUCCCCCCCUGGAAUCUGUGAGGGGGCAUGGCCCCCACAGGAGAAAGGGUGUUAGUCUGUGUGUGUGUUUGUGUUUGUGCGUGUGUAUGUGUGUGUGUGUGUGCGUGUGUGGUUGGGGGGGCUAGGCAAUAUGCAACAGACUGCCCGUCCAGCAGGUAUACCCCAGGAGUUAGAUACCAUUGUGACCACAAAGACUCUUGUACCACACGGCCACACAACACGUUGCUGUCCGCUUGUUGCAUUGUUCUGGAUGCAUGCAGGCUCUCUGGCCCGCCCUGUAUAGAACUCUGUCUCUAGAAGCUCACCAUCACCGCCCUGCUGGACAAGCAGGGACAUUGUAUUGGUCUGUCUGUUUUGAAGCAUGCAUUUGGUAUCAUAAAUGUCACUCUUUAUGUGUUGGUAAAUCAUUUAGGCUAUUGUUACUACUGUGUGCUACAAUCCCAUCAUAUAU